rfam:Bacillus badius strain MTCC 1458 Contig16, whole genome shotgun sequence.
UUGAUUGCGAUGAUAAGGACAUGAAUCAUUUUUACGGCUUUCAGAGAGGGAAGGAUCAGCUGCGACCUUCCUAGCUUAGGAAAAUGAUUUACCGCCUUUGAGCUGCAUUGGGGAACUAAAGUAUCCAAUGCCGUUUGCUGCGUUACAGCACCAGAGCCAUAAGUGUAUUGUUUGCUUAUGGAAACUUGGGUGGAACCACGGGUUAAGCGCACUCGUCCCUUCU